GUACAUUAGUCUCAUGAUUUCAUUUAAGGAAUUAAGUUAUAUGAGAUUAAAAGGAUUCAUUGCCAAGGAAUUGAAUGUCAAUUACCGCAGCAAAAACUGAUCUUAAACUUGGGCAAAGUUGUUUGGACUAGGUGGAAAUUGGGUUGUUACUUCAACAAUCCGUAAAAUCAAAACUUAACUGUGACAGGUGUGAGCACUAUGUCCCUUCUUUGAGCAGAGUUGGCAAAUAGUGUUGGAGUAGGAAGAGAUAAGAUGCUUGCCAAAUAGUGCAUGACGAUCCACACGUCCUUUAGAGAAGAUGUGUGUGGUAGAACUUGUGCUUUUCUGGGAAUCAUGAUAUCCCUGUGACAUUUGGGAUAUAGUGAGACAUUUGGGCAUGCUUUGAGUUCAACAUCUCUGAUGAAGGACUUCUUUCUUUGUUAAAGGUAUCAUUGAGGAUGAAUGGUCACAAAUCCAAAAAUAAAUGUCGCAUUCCACAAUCUAAAGGAAGUAAGUGAGCUGUUGUUUCUUCCUCGAACCUCCUUCACCAUACAAAUCAUUCCAGUGCUUCAACUCAUCCAUUACAGAUCCUUCUGAUGCAAAACUUGCAGCCUCUUGCAUUUAAUCAGAUAUCCGUAGUGCGAUGACUGGAGUAUUUUCUACGUCUUUCUUUGUUUUGUUCCAAUGGAGUCGUGUAAGGACCAUAUUACUUAUAAAAAAAUUUCAUACUUAAUUGUUUUUUAUGUAAUGUGAUGUUGAUUGGAGUGCUUCUUAAGUCUUUCUUUGUUUUGUUUCCGGAAAGUCAUACUAGGGCAUGCCACUUAAUAAAAAUUAAUUUCCAA